AACGAACGCUGGCGGCAUGCCUAACACAUGCAAGUCGAACGGGAUCCAGGCUUCGGCCUGGUGAGAGUGGCGGACGGGUGAGUAACACGUGGGAAUCUGCCUUUUGGUUCGGGAUAACCGCGGGAAACUGCGGCUAAUACCGGAUGUACCCGCGAGGGGAAAGAUUUAUCGCCAGAAGAGGAGCCCGCGUCCGAUUAGGUAGUUGGUGGGGUAAUGGCCUACCAAGCCAACGAUCGGUAGCUGGUCUGAGAGGAUGAUCAGCCACACUGGGACUGAGAUACGGCCCAGACUCCUACGGGUGGCUG
rnacentral:rRNA from 1 species